rnacentral:rRNA from 1 species
UACCAGCACCCCGAGUGGUCGGGACGAUUAUUGGGCCUAAAGCAUCCGUAGCCGGCCUUACAAGUCUUCCGUUAAAUCCACCUGCUUAACAGAUGGGCUGCGGAGGAUACUAUAGAGCUAGGAGGCGGGAGAGGCAAGCGGUACUUAGUGGGUAGGGGUAAAAUCCGUUGAUCCAUUGAAGACCACCAGUGGCGAAGGCGGCUUGCCAGAACGCACUCGACGGUGAGGGAUGAAAGCUGGGGGAGCAAACCGG